UACAUCCACCAAGGCUUCUCCCAUAGAUCUCAAUGACAACUCAGUCCAAAUCCCAGGGCAUGGAGUGGACGUGGAGGAUCAUUUUCCUGCUGGCAGCUGCCCCAGGUGUCCACUCCCAGAUCCAGCUGACACAGUCUGGGGCUGAGCUGAAGAAGCCUGGGGAGACAGUGAAGGUCUCCUGCAAGGCUUCUGGAUACACCUUCACCAGCUAUGGUAUGAGCUGGGUGAGGCAGGAGGCAGGAAAAGGCUUGCAGUACAUGGGAUGGAUCAACACUGAAACUGGAAAACCUAUGUACAAUGAGGGCUUCACAGAGCGAUUUGUCUUCUCCAUGGACACCUCUGUCAGCACCGCAUAUCUGCAGAUAAACAGCCUGAAGUCUGAGGACACAGCUAUGUAUUACUGUGCAAGGCACAGUGUGAAAACCACAUCCUGA